rnacentral:rRNA from 1 species
GAUGAACGCUGGCGGCGUGCCUAAUACAUGCAAGUCGAGCGAACAGAUGAGGAGCUUGCUCCUCUGACGUUAGCGGCGGACGGGUGAGUAGCACGUGGAUAACCUACCUAUAAGACUGGGAUAACUUCGGGAAACCGGAGCUAAUACCGGAUAAUAUAUUGAACCGCAUGGUUCAGUAGUGAAAGACGGUUUUGCUGUCACUUAUAGAUGGAUCCGCGCCGCAUUAGCUAGUUGGUAAGGUAACGGCUUACCAAGGCAACGAUGCGUAGCCGACCUGAGAGGGUGAUCGGCCACACUGGAACUGGGACACGGUCCAGACUCCUACGGGAGGCAGCAGUAGGGAAUCUUCCGCAAUGGGCGAAAGCUUGACGGAGCAACGCCGCGUGAGUGAUGAAGGUCUUCGGAUCGUAAAACUCUGUUAUUAGGGAAGAACAAAUGUGUAAGUAACUAUGCACGUCUUGACGGUACCUAAUCAGAAAGCCACGGCUAACUACGUG